CCAAGGAGUCUAACAUGUGCGCAAGUCUUCAGGUCGUCCCACGAUGCGCGACGAAACCUGCAAGGCGAAAUGAAAGUGAAGGCCGUCCGCCACCACAAAACCUCGCUCUCCGGAGCGGGGCAGGCGGGCGGCCGAGGCGGGAUCCGAAGGCAGCAAAUCCCAAAAAAGCCUCUCUUUACUACAACCCGAAAGGUCGUCUUCGAUCCGCUUUCUCGUGGCUGGAGUCUCGUGGCAAGAAAGCGGCGACGGCCUUUCUCCCAAAACGAGACCAAAAAAACAAAAAAGAGAACCGGGACCCGCAAGCCAAACCAAAAGCACCACAGCCGCCGCGUUCGGGCAACGCGCCGUCGACGCCGCCGGUUCCGCGUCCCUCGUCCUCGACGAGGCUGGCGGACGGCUGGCGCUCGGAGCGACCCGAACGCACACACGUGCUACAUGAGCUGAUGAAACGCUGCGGACGUACCCGGUUCGGCGCACCGCCGGCCCGUCUCGAUGCCACAACGUUGGCGAGGCGGAGCCAGAGCGCACACGUUGGGACCCGAAAGAUGGUGAACUAUGCUCGGGCAGGACGAAGCCAGAGGAAACUCUGGUGGAGGUCCGUAGCGAUUCUGACGUGCAAAUCGAUCGUCGGACCUGAGUAUAGGGGCGAAAGACUAAUCGAACCGUCUS
rnacentral:rRNA from 1 species